UCCGCCUUACAGCGGCAGUUUGUUCCGAGUCCCCGACUUUACUCGCUGGUAACAGAACAUGAGGGUUGCGCUCGUUGCGGGACUUAACCCAACAUUUCACAACACGAGCUGACGACAGCCAUGCACCACCUGUGUAGCACCCUCGAAGGCGACCACGUUUCGGCGGCUUGCAGCUACAUGUCAAGCCCUGGUAAGGUUCUUCGCGUUGCAUCGAAUUAAGCCACAUGCUCCACCGCUUGUGCGGGCCCCCGCCAAUUCCUUUGAGUUUCAACCUUGCGGUCGUAGUCCCCAGGCGGUUCACUUAAUGCGUUAGCUGCGGCACCGAGGGCAAAACCCCCGACACCUAGUGAACAUCGUUUAGGGCUGGGAAUAC
rnacentral:misc_RNA from 1 species